AUCGCGAAGGCGGCGUGCUAUAAUGCAGUCGACGAACUCUGGUAUUGAUUGGUGCUUGCAUCAUGAUUUACAUUUGAGUGAGUGGCGAACUGGUGAGUAACACGUGGGAAACCUGCCCAGAAGCGGGGGAUAACACCUGGAAACAGAUGCUAAUACCGCAUAACAACUUGGACCGCAUGGUCCGAGUUUGAAAGAUGGCUUCGGCUAUCACUUUUGGAUGGUCCCGCGGCGUAUUAGCUAGAUGGUGGGGUAACGGCUCACCAUGGCAAUGAUACGUAGCCGACCUGAGAGGGUAAUCGGCCACAUUGGGACUGAGACACGGCCCAAACUCCUACGGGAGGCAGCAGUAGGGAAUCUUCCACAAUGGACGAAAGUCUGAUGGAGCAACGCCGCGUGAGUGAAGAAGGGUUUCGGCUCGUAAAACUCUGUUGUUAAAGAAGAACAUAUCUGAGAGUAACUGUUCAGGUAUUGACGGUAUUUAACCAGAAAGCCACGGCUAACUACGUGCCAGCAGCCGCGGUAAUACGUAGGUGGCAAAGCGUAAAA
rnacentral:rRNA from 2 species